GACGAACCGUGCGAACGUUGUUCGGAAUCACUGGGCUUAAAGGGCGCGUAGGCGGGCUUGCAAGUCAGGGGUGAAAUCCCACGGCUCAACCGUGGAAGUGCCUUUGAUACUGCGGGUCUUGAGGGAGGUAGGGGCGUGCGGAACUUCCGGUGGAGCGGUGAAAUGCGUAGAUAUCGGAAGGAACACCGGUGGCGAAAGCGGCGCGCUGGACCUCUACUGACGCUGAGGCGCGAAAGCCAGGGGAGCGAACGGG
rnacentral:rRNA from 1 species